AGCCCCGUGGUGUAUAACACAUCAGAUUGCAAACCUGAAGAAGCAGGCUAAUAGCCCGCCGGGGCUU
rnacentral:tRNA from 2 species